rnacentral:rRNA from 1 species
AGAGUUUGAUCCUGGCUCAGAUUGAACGCUGGCGGCAGGCCUAACACAUGCAAGUCGAGCGGAAACGAGUUAACUGAACCUUCGGGGAACGUUAACGGCGUCGAGCGGCGGACGGGUGAGUAAUGCCUGGGAAAUUGCCCUGAUGUGGGGGAUAACCAUUGGAAACGAUGGCUAAUACCGCAUAAUAGCUUCGGCUCAAAGAGGGGGACCUUCGGGCCUCUCGCGUCAGGAUAUGCCCAGGUGGGAUUAGCUAGUUGGUGAGGUAAGGGCUCACCAAGGCGACGAUCCCUAGCUGGUCUGAGAGGAUGAUCAGCCACACUGGAACUGAGACACGGUCCAGACUCCUACGGGAGGCAGCAGUGGGGAAUAUUGCACAAUGGGCGCAAGCCUGAUGCAGCCAUGCCGCGUGUAUGAAGAAGGCCUUCGGGUUGUAAAGUACUUUCAGCAGUGAGGAAGGGGUGUCCGUUAAUAGCGUGCAUCUUUGACGUUAGCUGCAGAAGAAGCACCGGCUAACUCCGUGCCAGCAGCCGCGGUAAUAC